GACAGCCUUCUGAAAGGAAGAUUAAUACAAGAUGGCAUCAUGAGUCCGCAAGUUCACAUGAGUAAAGGUAUUUCGGUAGACGAUGGGGAUGCGUUCCAUUAGAUAGUAGGCGGGGUAACGGCCCACCUAGUCUUCGAUGGAUAGGGGUUCUGAGAGGAAGGUCCCCCACAUUGGAACUGAGACACGGUCCAAACUCCUACGGGAGGCACCAAUGAGGAAUAUUGGUCAAUGGGCGAGAGCCUGAACCAGCCAAGUAGCGUGAAGGAUGACUGCCCUAUGGGUUGUAAACUUCUUUUAUAAAGGAAUAAAGUCGGGUAUGUAUACCCGUUUGCAUGUACUUUAUGAAUAAGGAUCGGCUAACUCCGUGCCAGCAGCCGCGGUAAUACGGAGGAUCCGAGCGUUAUCCGGAUUUAUUGGGUUUAAAGGGAGCGUAGAUGGAUGUUUAAGUCAGUUGUGAAAGUUUGCGGCUCAACCGUAAAAUUGCAGUUGAUACUGGAUAUCUUGAGUGCAGUUGAGGCAGGCGGAAUUCGUGGUGUAGCGGUGAAAUGCUUAGAUA
rnacentral:rRNA from 1 species